rnacentral:rRNA from 1 species
CAAACGACUCUCGGCAACGGAUAUCUCGGCUCWCGCAUCGAUGAAGAACGUAGCAAAAUGCGAUACUUGGUGUGAAUUGCAGAAUCCCGUGAACCAUCGAGUUUUUGAACGCAAGUUGCGCCCGAAGCCAUCCGGUUGAGGGCACGUCUGCCUGGGCGUCACG